rnacentral:tRNA from 1 species
GGUGAGAUGGCCGAGCGGUCUAAGGCGCCAGACUAAGGCGGUGACCACCGUUGGAAUCUGGUCCGAAAGGGCGUGGGUUCGAAUCCCACUCUCAUCA